rnacentral:rRNA from 1 species
AUUGAACGCUGGCGGCAGGCCUAACACAUGCAAGUCGAACGAGUGGCGGACGGGUGAGUAAUGUCUGGGAAACUGCCUGAUGGAGGGGGAUAACUACUGGAAACGGUAGCUAAUACCGCAUACCAUCGGAUGUGCCCAGAUGGGAUUAGCUAGUAGGUGGGGUAAAGGCUCACCUAGGCGACGAUCCCUAGCUGGUCUGCGAGGAUGACCAGCCACACUGGAACUGUGACACGGUCCAGACUCCUACGGGAGGCAGCAGUGGGGAAUAUUGGACAGUGGGCGCAAACCUGAUACAGCCAUGCCGCGUGUGUGAAGAAGGCCUUCGGGUUGUAAAGUACUUUCAGCGGGGAGGCGUUACCCGCAGAAGAAGCACCGGCUAACUCCGUGCCAGCAGCCGCGGUAAUUC